UGAACAUACCCGGAAGACAGAGGCUGAUGAAUGCUUUAGUCUUCAUGUCACCCAAAGCAGCUCAAAAGUCAGAACACAUCUGGAUCUUUAUUUGCAGUUCUAGUUUAGUUAACAAGGAUGUUUUUGUUCAUGGUUGGACAUGGAAUAACAUGAGAAGAGUUUGGAAAACUUUAACUUGUGGGCCUCCUUCAGACUAUCUGAAUCAGAAUCUCCAGGGUAUACUGUAGUACUUUUAAAUCAUUUUUUCAGACAGAAUUACCCAAGAAAGCCAGUCUACCAGGAAGGAUUUGAACACAUUUUGUGGAGAGACACAGUUUAACCCACAAUGUAGGGUGUUUGUGCUGUUCUUCUGAUUCUACCACUUCGAAUAUCUUCUGAUUCUUCCCUUUGGAAUUGCUGAAGUAUGACGAAUGACCUCUAAGUGGCCGAUCUCUAGACACCCAACACCUCUUCAUGUCGGGCCACACCACGAAGGUCCCACAUGACACUGAGAAGGAAGCUGUCCCUGGCCCAGGAAGCUUGG